AUGAUGAGGAGCUUGCUCCUCUGAUUUAGCGGCGGACGGGUGAGUAACACGUGGGUAAUCUGCCUGUAAGACGGGGAUAACUCCGGGAAACCGGGGCUAAUACCGGAUAAUAAGAGAAGAAGCAUUUCUUCUUUUUGAAAGUCGGUUUCGGCUGACACUUACAGAUGAGCCCGCGGCGCAUUAGCUAGUUGGUGAGGUAACGGCUCACCAAGGCGACGAUGCGUAGCCGACCUGAGAGGGUGAUCGGCCACACUGGGACUGAGACACGGCCCAGACUCCUACGGGAGGCAGCAGUAGGGAAUCUUCGGCAAUGGGCGAAAGCCUGACCGAGCAACGCCGCGUGAGCGAUGAAGGCCUUCGGGUCGUAAAGCUCUGUUGUUAGAGAAGAACAAGUACGAGAGUAACUGCUCGUACCUUGACGGUACCUAACCAGAAAGCCACGGCUAACUACGUGCCAGCAGCCGCGGUAAUACGUAGGUGGCAAGCGUUAUCCGGAAUUAUUGGGCGUAAAGCGCGCGCAGGCGGUCUCUUAAGUCUGAUGUGAAAGCCCACGGCUCAACCGUGGAGGGUCAUUGGAAACUGGGAGACUUGAGUGCAGGAGAGAAAAGUGGAAUUCCACGUGUAGCGGUGAAAUGCGUAGAGAUGUGGAGGAACACCAGUGGCGAAGGCGGCUUUUUGGCCUGUAACUGACGCUGAGGCGCGAAAGCGUGGGGAGCAAACAGGAUUAGAUACCCUGGUAGUCCACGCCGUAAACGAUGAGUGCUAGGUGUUGGGGGGUUCCACCCUCAGUGCUGAAGUUAACACAUUAAGCACUCCGCCUGGGGAGUACGACCGCAAGGUUGAAACUCAAAGGAAUUGACGGGGGCCCGCACAAGCAGUGGAGCAUGUGGUUUAAUUCGAAGCAACGCGAAGAACCUUACCAGGUCUUGACAUCCUUUGACCACUCUAGAGAUAGAGCUUUCCCCUUCGGGGGACAAAGUGACAGGUGGUGCAUGGUUGUCGUCAGCUCGUGUCGUGAGAUGUUGGGUUAAGUCCCGCAACGAGCGCAACCCUUGACCUUAGUUGCCAGCAUUCAGUUGGGCACUCUAAGGUGACUGCCGGUGACAAACCGGAGGAA
rnacentral:rRNA from 1 species